rnacentral:tRNA from 1 species
GCCAUUUGUUAUGCCUAGUGGACAUGGCAUCUGCCUGGUAAGCGGAACACUGUGGGUUCGAUUCCCAUCCCUGGGCA